rnacentral:rRNA from 1 species
GAUGAACGCUGGCGGCGUGCCUAAUACAUGCAAGUCGAGCGAACGGACGAGAAGCUUGCUUUUCUGAUGUUAGCGGCGGACGGGUGAGUAACACGUGGAUAACCUACCUAUAAGACUGGGAUAACUUCGGGAAACCGGAGCUAAUACCGGAUAAUAUUUUGAACCGCAUGGUUCAAAAGUGAAAGACGGUCUUGCUGUCACUUAUAGAUGGAUCCGCGCUGCAUUAGCUAGUUGGUAAGGUAACGGCUUACCAAGGCAACGAUGCAUAGCCGACCUGAGAGGGUGAUCGGCCACACUGGAACUGAGACACGGUCCAGACUCCUACGGGAGGCAGCAGUAGGGAAUAUUCCGCAAUGGGCGAAAGCCUGACGGAGCAACGCCGCGUGAGUGAUGAAGGUCUUCGGAUCGUAAAACUCUGUUAUUAGGGAAGAACAUCUGUGUAAGUAAAUGUGCACAUCUUGACGGUACCUAAUCAGAAAGCCCCGGCUAACUACGUG